GGCAACGGCUCCUUCCCCCUCCUUCCCGAUCCAUGCCCGCCCGCCCUCCGGCGUGUGACGGUGUCGGCGGCGCUGCGGGCCGGGAUGGCCCCGGCGGGGCGGGGAAGGGGAGCGGCCGCCAUUCCCGCUUAAGACCAUUCCACCUUGGCCUGUCACUGCAGGCCCUUGUGAUAAGUCCCUCUCCAGGGACACGGACGUACAGGGAAGAGCAGGGGAAUCAUAGGACCACCCCAGGAGUCACAGUGAGGUGUUAGGUCCUGGAAGCCUUUUUGAGAUSUCAGGAAAAGAACUGCACACACUGCUCAAUAUUCAGAGAACUAUGGAUUUAUACCAGGGCAGGUUCAUUUGUUACUGGAGUUGUUCCAUCCAGUUCUGRUUCAGCAAAACUUGAAAACAACUGAAGGUUCACAUCAAGCAUGGGUUUGAUUGACUCCCAAAGGGAGUUACAUCCAGGAUGGGUUGGAGCAAAAUAUGGACCUUCUUGGUUUAGUUCUUURUGAUAAACUCAGCAAUAAACAGAAUAUUUUUAUUUAACCCUAUUCUUGCAGCUGAAUAUAGCAAUGCAUCAACCAACAACAGGAACACUUAGAGAAAUUAGGUCAUUAAGAAAUGUCCUGUCACAGUAGCUACAACAUUUCUAAAUUAAUUCAGAGCUCCCAAAUCACAGAAU